rnacentral:rRNA from 1 species
GAGGGGGCAAGCGUUGUUCGGAAUUACUGGGCGUAAAGGGCGCGUAGGCGGCCUCCUAAGUCGGACGUGAAAUCCCCGAGCUCAACUCGGGAACUGCGUCCGAUACUGGUUGGCUUGAAUCCGGGAGAGGGAUGCGGAAUUCCAGGUGUAGCGGUGAAAUGCGUAGAUAUCUGGAGGAACACCGGUGGCGAAGGCGGCAUCCUGGACCGGCAUUGACGCUGAGGCGCGAAAGCCAGGGGAGCAAACGGGAUUAGAUACCCCGGUAGUCCUGGCCCUAAACGAUGAAUGCUUGGUGUGGCGGGUAUCGAUCCCUGCCGUGCCGAAGCUAACGCAUUAAGCAUUCCGCCUGGGGAGUACGGUCGCAAGGCUG